rnacentral:snoRNA from 1 species
AAAUGUGGUGAUGAUGGGCAAAACGUUCAACUGCUCUGAGUUGGCUGAAUGAAACUAGCCUUUCUGAACAUGU